AAUUGCCUGGAAUGUGCGACAAUCCUAUAUAUUUAGAACCUACAUCACUUUGAACGGGAUUCCUAUAUGAACUGCCGGAUGUCAGGCCGCCUCGUACCAGUGGAAGGCAGAACGCAGACUGCGGUUACCCACCUAGCAUUUGCUAGGCGUCUAAAUUGUAGGAACCGGCAUUUCGGGUAAUUA
rnacentral:other from 1 species